rnacentral:rRNA from 1 species
AGUGAACGCUGGCGGUAGGCCUAACACAUGCAAGUCGAACGGCAGCACAGUAAGAGCUUGCUCUUACGGGUGGCGAGUGGCGGACGGGUGAGGAAUACAUCGGAAUCUACUUUUUCGUGGGGGAUAACGUAGGGAAACUUACGCUAUACCGCAUACGACCUACGGGUGAAAGCAGGGGAUCUUCGGACCUUGCGCGAUUGAAUGAGCCGAUGUCGGAUUAGCUAGUUGGCGGGGUAAAGGCCCACCAAGGCGACGAUCCGUAGCUGGUCUGAGAGGAUGAUCAGCCACACUGGAACUGAGACACGGUCCAGACUCCUACGGGAGGCAGCAGUGGGGAAUAUUGGACAAAGGGCGCAAGCCUGAUCCAGCCAUACCGCGUGGGUGAAGAAGGCCUUCGGGUUGUAAAGCCCUUUUGUUGGGAAAGAAAAGCAGCAGGUUAAUACCCCGCUGUUCUGACGGUACCCAAAGAAUAAGCACCGGCUAACUUCGUG